rnacentral:rRNA from 1 species
UACGUAGGUGGCAAGCGUUGUCCGGAAUUACUGGGUGUAAAGGGUGCGUAGGCGGAGAGACAAGUCAGUGGUGAAAUGUAUGGGCUUAACCCAUGAACUGCCGUUGAAACUGUUUUUCUUGAGUGUGCUAGAGGUUGGCGGAAUUCCUAGUGUAGCGGUGAAAUGCGUAGAUAUUAGGAGGAACAUCAGUGGCGAAGGCGGCCAACUGGGGCGUAACUGACGCUGAGGCACGAAAGUGUGGGGAGCAAAC